UAAUUUUAUUUUAAAACGGAGGGAAUAAUUUUUAACCUAAUGAAGCAUUAAUUAUUUUCCUUUGAAAAAAUUAACAUGAAUCUCAAUUUAAUUUUGCUACUCCUAUCAAUGACCUCAUUUGUGCAUGAUCCAAAGGUAAACAUAAAAGCGGUAAUUUUCAUUGCAAUACAGUUUUACAGAAAACAUGGGGUGAAAAAACCGUCACCAAAUAAAAAGAUGAGAGCCGGUGAAAAAGACAGCGAGAUCGCCGGAAACGAGGGUUCGAACCUUUUCGCCGCCUCUUGCAUUUCUCUGCGGCGUCACUUUCCGAUCGACGCAAACCCUUGUUUUUCACCCUCUUCUUUGCGAGGAAGUGGACGUGCCGGAGUGGUUAUCGGGCAUGACUAGAAAUCAUGUGGGCUUUGCCCGCGCAGGUUCGAAUCCUGCCGUCCACGUUUUUGCUGCUUGAUUAAUUCAAUUUUACUGAAGUGCAUGAUGUUUGUUAGGAUGAUAAUAGAGGAGCUAUACUUUGGAUGAAAGAUUUCAGGUCAUCUGUUGAAGUCAUGGUGGGGGCUCAUACUUAUGAUUGAUCGCCUUUGUGUUGCUAGAAUUACGGGAAUGAACUUUCCAAUAUGAAGUGGACAUGCUGGAGUGGUUAUCGGGCAUGACUUGAAAUCUUGUGGGCUCUGCCCGCACAGGUUCGAGUUGUGCCGUUCACACUUCUUAGUUUGACAUAGCCAUUUGAUUACUGAAUGAUUUGUGAUAGCUGAUUCAAAUUUCAAUGUACUUUCUUUUUAUUCGGUCUCAAAAAUGAAUGAAAAUUGUUGAAGCAGUUUAUUGAUAGGCUGAUACUUGUAAUGUAUGGCUGGGGUAGUUGUUCGGGGUGGUAUGGAAGUGGGAGACAGAUGAAGCACUUUGUAUAAUUUUGAUUCCUCCCACUUCUAUCUUACUGAUUUGAAGUUUGUGUUUCUCUAUCUUACAGACUUCUCCUGCUCCUCAGACUUGUAAUACACUUGAACAUCAUGGCUUGUAUGUUUUCUAGUGGGGUAGAAGAUGCAUAUAUUGGCUGAUUUGGACCUCAUAGUAUUCAUAAUGGAACAUAUGUACAAUUAACACACUUUAUAAAAAGUAUGAGAUAAAAAGUGU